GAGAGGAAAGAAGACAGAGCAGGGGAGAUAUGAGAGACGGAGGGAGGAGGGGAGAUAUGAGAGACGGAGGGAGGAGGGGAGGUAUGAGAGACGGAGGGAGGAGGGGAGGUAUGAGAGACGGAGGGAGGAGGGAAGGUAUGAGAGACGGAGGGAGGAGGGAAGGUAUGAGAGACGGAGGGAGGAGGGGAGGUAUGAGAGACGGAGGGAGGAGGGAAGGUAUGAGAGACGGAGGGAGGUAUGAGAGACGGAGGGAGGAGGGGAGGUAUGAGAGACGGAGGGAGGUAUGAGACGGAGGGAGGAGGGGAGGUAUGAGAGACGGAGGGAGGUAUGAGACGGAGGGAGGAGGGGAGGUAUGAGAGACGGAGGGAGGUAUGAGACGGAGGGAGGAGGGGAGGUAUGAGAGACGGAGGGAGGUAUGAGACGGAGGGAGGAGGGGAGGUAUGAGAGACGGAGGGAGGUAUGAGAGACGGAGGGAGGAGGGGAGGUAUGAGAGACGGAGGGAGGUAUGAGACGGAGGGAGGAGGG